AAUGCUCCACAGUCCGAGGAUUAUUUCGUUGCUUGCCGGCUGGGAACCUCGCUGAAGCUGGCAUGGGAGCAGAGCGGGGUAAACACGUGUGUUCAUAAUAACCACUCCAGAUCACCGAGCAUCGUCUAAGGUCAGGCCCUUUGCCAAGCGCUGCACCUACUUGAUUUCACCUAAUGGAAGGAACAAAAUGAGAGCUCUGGGCAAGUAGAGCCACACCUCUCUCACAGUCUACACUGUGAGAGAGCCAGGCCUGGAUGUGGGAGACCAGAAACCAGGGCUCUGUGCUUGAUUCUGUGAACAGAUGUAACACCAUGGCUCUGACUCCGAAUUCGGCUCGCCAAGGAAUGAGUCUAAAGCAUUUCGCCAGCCAGCGGAUGAUGCUGAGGAAGGGAUGCUUCUGGGAAGUCACUAGAUUGAAGUUGUCCCUGAAGAUGGAGAUUGAAUAACACAAGAGAGAAGAG
rnacentral:lncRNA from 1 species